CUCGGGGAGGAGGGGUCCCUCAGCCCAGACUGCAAGAGGGCACAGGCCAGGCCAAGGGACUCCACCGGUGCACA
rfam:Myotis davidii contig129658, whole genome shotgun sequence.